GGAAGGGUGGCCGAGCGGUUUAAGGCACUGGUCUUGAAAACCAGCAGGGGUCACACCCUCGUGGGUUCGAAUCCCACCCCUUCCGCCA
rnacentral:tRNA from 1 species